rnacentral:rRNA from 1 species
UCCGGCGCCUAAGGAUGAAUCUGCGGACUAUCAGGUAGUAGUCAGGGUAAAGGCCUGACUAGCCUACGACGGAUACGGGUUGUGAGAGCAAUAACCCGGAGACGAUAUCUGAGACACGAUAUCGGGCCCUACGGGGCGCAGCAGGCGCGAAAACUUCACACUGUGCGAAAGCACGAUGAGGGAAUCCCAAGUGCUUGCUCGUAAGAGUAAGCUGUUUUUAUGUAUAAAAAGCAUAGAGAGUAGGGGCUGGGUAAGACGGGUGCCAACCGCCGCGGUAAUACCUGCAGCUCAAGUGGUGACCACUAUUAUUGGGCCUAAAACGUUCGUAGCCGGUUUAUUACAUGCUUGGGUAAAUCGUGUAGCUUAACUAUACGAAUUCCGGGUAGACUGAU